rnacentral:rRNA from 1 species
UACGUAGGGUGCGAGCGUUAAUCGGAAUUACUGGGCGUAAAGCGUGCGCAGGCGGCUUUGCAGGACAGAGGUGAAAUCCCCGGGCUCAACCUGGGAACUGCCUUUGUGACUGCAAGGCUAGAGUACGGCAGAGGGGGAUGGAAUUCCGCGUGUAGCAGUGAAAUGCGUAGAUAUGCGGAGGAACACCGAUGGCGGAGGCAAUCCCCUGGGCCUGUACUGACGCUCAUGCACGAAAGCGUGGGGAGCAAACAGG